GGACCGGGAAGGACGCACCUCUGGUGAACCGGUUGUCGCGCCAGCGGCACGGCCGGGUGGCCAAGUGCGGAAUGGAUAACCGCUGAAGGCAUCUAAGCGGGAAACCAGCCUCGAAACGAGGUCUCGCCGAGGGCCGUGGAAGACCACCACGUUGAUAGGCCGCAGGUGCAAGGGGGGUAACCUCCUCAGCCGAGCGGUCCUAAUCGCCCGAUAGAGCUCCUGAA
rnacentral:rRNA from 1 species